UCUAGCGAGAUUGUUGUGGAUGUGUCUUGUGCCUCAUGUGGCCAGAACCCUCUCCCCGAUUUGGACUCCUCCUCCGGCCAGCACCCCUACUCACGCACUACCUAGGCGGGAGGGCCAUAGAAGAGGGCGGACGAGGGGGUUCUCUUCUUCUUCCGUCCAAUCCACACACAUCACAGUCCUUCUCUUCUUCUUCCGUCGGAUUCACAUACAUCACAGUCCACCAAAGACUUGCUCAGGGCAAAGGAAGCUUCGGUUUCGCCAGUGGAUGUAGAAUUGAUGGUGAGCAUCCCGGAUUUCAUGCACCUCUACAGUGUCGUCGAGGAGAUGGACGGCAGCCCGGGCCUGCAUACACAUGAUGGAACGCACCUUGCCAGCGAUGCGGUACCAUGCCUGGAGAAGAGAUCCUGAGGAGGAGAGGAUAUUUGGAUCUGAGUACGUGAAGGAGGAGCAAAAGGAUAUUCAGAUUUCUAUUGCUCCUGAUGGUAUUAGAUAACUGAUGAAAAGUGGAUGUUAUACGGACUGACGAAACUGCUAUUUCACCUCAGGAAGUAAGUAAAGCUUGAGAUAGUUGUUCCCCGGCUUGCUACCUUGCAUUUGGGAGCUCACUGCUAGGUCAUACAAAUGAAUUCUGAUUCUGAUGUAUGACUAAAGGUGAAGAUUUACAGUGAUGCAUCAUAACUGAAGCUAUCUUGUCGAGGAUAUAAGUUGUUUGCUUGUUAUACUUAAAUUUGAGGAUGCAAAUUCGGAACCUCUAAUUUGCAUUCCUAAUUUUUAAUAGUCCUUUUAGUGAUGAACAUUUUAAGGGUGUCAGGGUUGAUAUGUGCUAUAAAAACCCACAUGAUUCUUUUAGCCUCUUUCAUUAAUGAUGUUUCCUCAUCUUUUGUACUACCAAUUAUUAUGGCAGGAAGUCUCACUAUUGCACAACUCAAGUCUGCCAAAUAUACUAAUCAUUUGUAUUUUUGAAGUUGUAGAUGAUUAGAUUUUCAGCAGAAUUUCUAUUGUAGCAUACACAUCGUGGCAAGCUGACAUUGACAAGCAGAAAUCAGAUGCCUCAAGUUCCUGAAGUUCAUUGCAAAAAAAGAAAACUUAGUAGACUUAAUGAGUGUAGACAAUGGAAUUCUCGAUUUUUAUGUGUGCCAUUCAAAAGAUGUUGCUUUAGGACAUAUCUUGGAACUUGUACAUUGGCAUGAUAUCUCAUAAGUUACAGGGGAAUCAUUGAUGCCACAUUCGAGAUCAGAGUUAGUCUUUUCUGGAGGGAAUGAUCAGAGUUAGUGAGGAUGAGGGGACAUGUUUUUGUUAGAGUUGUCUAGGAUGAUUUUGGCUGCUGUUUUGGGCCUUUGCC